rnacentral:lncRNA from 1 species
GGGGUCACUCGGGGUCACUCAGGGUCAUUCAGGGGUCACUCAGGGUCACUCAGGGUCACUCAUUGGUCACUCAGGGUCAGUCGGGGUCACUCAUUGGUCACUCAUUGGUCACUCAGGGGUCACUCAUUGGUCACUCAGGGGUCACUCAGGGUCACUCGGGGUCACUCAUUGGUCACUCAGGGUCAUUCAUUGGUCACUCGGGGUCAGUCACUCAGGGUCACUCAGGGGUCACUCGGGGUCACUCAUUGGUCACUCAGGGUCAUUCAUUGGUCACUCGGGGUCACUCGGGGUCACUCAGGGGUCACUCGGGGUCACUCGGGUCACUCAUUGGUCACUCAGGGUCAUUCAGGGUCACUCAGGGGUCACUCAGGGGUCACUCGGGGUCACUCAGUUCCCCCGGCCCCUCCCCCCAGGCCACACCAUGUCCACGGUGGGGGAGGAGCGGCGCCACAACCCCCGCCUGACCCUCGGCGAGGAGGAGUUCGUGGCGCUGAUGGAGGGGCUGCAGCUGCCCCGCCCCCGCCUCAUGGGUGCGGCCCCUCCCCCACCCCACCCCAUCCCCCCCCCGGACCCUGAAUCCCCAAAAAUCCCCCCAAAAAUCCCCCCAGAAAUCCCCCCAGAAAUCCCCCCAAAAAUCCCAUCCAAAUUGCCCUGAAUCCCCAAAAAUUCCCCCAAAAAUCCCACCCAAACUCCCCCAAGUACCCAAAAAUCCCCCCAAAAAUCCCCCUGAAAUCCCCCCAAAAAU